rnacentral:rRNA from 1 species
UACGUAGGGGGCAAGCGUUGUCCGGAUUUAUUGGGCGUAAAGAGCGUGUAGGCGGUUAGGUAGGUCCGUUGUGAAAACUCGAGGCUCAACCUCGAGACGCCGAUGGAAACCAUCUGACUAGAGUCCGGAAGAGGAGAGUGGAAUUCCUGGUGUAGCGGUGAAAUGCGCAGAUAUCAGGAAGAACACCGGUGGCGAAGGCGGUUCUCUGGGCCUUACCUGACGCUGAGGAGCGAAAGCGUGGGGAGCGAACAGG